CCCGUAUAAAAAUGAACCAUUGAAUCUAUGGGAAAAACAGUACAAAAACAAAAGAUUUUUAUGUUAACCAUGUUUUCUAUUGUUUUUGUAUUGUGAACUGAAUUUAAAAAAUGCAAUUCGGUGUAUCAAUAACAAUAGGUCAACAUUAAAUUUCAUUGUUACAGUAUUUUCUAUAGGCAAACAAUAGAGAAACAUUUGAUUCUAUUGUUACAAUAGAUUAACAUUAGAUUAUUUUGUUAUUAUUAGAUAUCCCUAUGUUCUUUUCCAAUAUUACAAUUUUCCAUAAUUUUGACACCGCUUAGUUUCAGUGUUGAGCACGAGCAGCAAUAAUAUCAAAUGCGAUUUAUGUAGCUAAAUAUUAUGAAUUUGAUUGAAACAAAAAAAAACUUCGAGUCAAGUUUCGAGUGCAUUUUGAGUAUAAGCCUCUAUUAAAUGUUAGGCGAGUUUUGCUCGCGUAAACAAAACAUGCAAAACAUUCACCGUCGCAUCAUCGCAAGUUUGGAAAACCGGGUUCCACCUGUCGGUAUUCCUAACGAUAUUCCUGACUCCUGCAGGGAAAAGCAGCCCUACACCGGAAAAUCGGAAUCUUGUAGGUUGAAAAAAAAACUGCCGGAAUCAACAAAGGGAAGAUUCAGCCAGGAAAAUACCGCUGUGUGGAUGCGGAGAAAAUGACUAUGUACCAGAAAAAUGCGCCUGCAUCGGGUGGUUAACCUCCGGUGUUACCUUUCGGCCGCAAGAAGGAAGAUGAUGAUGGGUGAAGAACUUCGUCGGGGAAUUACGUCAACGCCAAGGACGAGGAGGGAGAAAUGGAAGCCAACAUCCCAACCUUCCACCUACAAGCCGAACAAGGACAGUGUCCUAUAGAUCUGCAUCCGAUGUUCCCGAUGCACCAGCUCUCGCUGCAAAGACAAUUCCGGGGCAGUCACCGGGAAAGCUCAUUGAUGAAGUUCCGGCCACGCUAACCUGAGGAGGCAAUUUUAAUAAACUGGACCUAAAGAGGCUCAACGCGAGGUCGUGCUGGUGAUGGACGAAAAAAUGUGAGUCCGCUGGCGGAUUGUAGAAAUGUGUAAUGCUUUAACGGAUUUAUUAUUUACAGAGCACAAAGAGUAACGAUGUAUACGCCGGACAAGAUUUCAAAUCCACUGUCGAUUUGCAAUUUGAAGAGAAGUUUAUUCAGAAGCUACACACACACAGCCAGGAGCGAAUCAUCGAGAAAGAGCCGAUGCACACGGGCGGGCGCGUCCACGCAGUGUGCACGCAAGUGCGUCCUGAGCUACACAUAAUCAAAUGGGAGGAUGCACAUGAGAACGCAACGCUACCGCACCGUGUGCAGCACGCAAUGCAAACGCAUACCCCACAGGACAACACCCGCAGGACCCCACAGUUGCGGCGACGCUGUGUGAAUUAAAGCUUGUGUGUAUCACGUCAAAGCCAGGCACUUAGGGGGCAUCCAUUUAGUACGUCACGCUAAACAUGGGAAUUUUCAACCACCCUCCCCCCUUCGUACGGGUUUUUCCUAUACUUAAUACAUUGCUUGUUACACUUUUCAGAACCCCCCCCCCCUUCUUAGCGUGACGUACUUUACUUAAGCCAAACUUCAAUAAGAAGCGCAGUAACGAGAACAUGAUGAAGAAAUCCGUUCCGAACGUGAGAUAUGACGAAGGCUAAGGUUAAGAUUUUUCGUUCGUACCUUAUUUGAUUUUUACUAAUAUGUAAUGUUAUAGGCCCCUAUAUCCACAGCUGUAAACGCGUGAAUAUUCAGCAUGCAUGCUGAAGGUGACGGGUUCGAUUCCCGUUCAGUCCAGGAACUUUUCGUAAAUGAAAUUUUCUUGACUUCUUUAGGCAUCUUGUUAGGCAUACAGUAUCUUAUAGCCUGUCACACGUUCAAUAUGUAUAAUAGAGUUAAUAAACUAUAGAGGACGAAUGUCGCUGCUGUUCCCUUUGUUCUCGCUCGCAAACAUGUCGGGGUAUCUAUCUGUCAAACUGCAUACUUUUUCGCUUUGACACUUAUAGCCCGGCCUAUCUCCGCCAGCAAGAGAUGUUUCGGCAGCGACGCCACACAGUGGGAUCAUUCUGAAAAAAGACGAUCAAAACCUCUAAGAGCCGUUAGAUGACAUUUUAGCAUAUAGGUGUCUUUGGCAGAUAUGUUCAGAAAAAUCUUCUCUAUUUUUAUGCAUAUUCACUGUAUGGUAAAACUGUAGGGUGAACCCGAGCAAAAAAAUAUUUUUUCAAAAUAUUUUUUUAGAGGGUAGAUGUCUUCAGCAAAGUUGUAGAACAAGUAAUUUCAAGUAACUUUGCUGAAGACACCAUAUAGCUUGGACUUCAUUUUUAUGGAGAAAAUAUGAAAGUUUAAAAAACAACCUCAAAAUCAGUUUUUUGAACUUUUCCAUGAUUAUAUCGUAAAACUUCAACGUGAUAUGUACUACAAGUUUGUAGAUACUACUGGAAUACACUAUCUUGCCGAAGACACCAACUCUGUAAAAUUGAAAAUUGCUCCAGUAAACCAUUUUUUUUGAAUUUUUUUCACUAUUUUCACUAUUGAAUAUUUUUUGAAUAGGCACUUUUUGGCAGCCGUGCUAUCAAAAUUGCAAUACUUCAUCAUGUCCAGAAUAGACCAAAAGUGACUUAACAAUCGGGUCUGAUAAGGCACUUUGAUUUAUGAUGCUAUUUUAAUAGUCAUUUUUCAAAGAAAAUGUUCACAAAUUUCAUACAAAUCAUUUAAUGCAAACUGAAAACUCACGAAAACUUUUCGACAUUAAUAAUUGUUAAUCAAAAUAGUAUUCUUGUUGAAAUAGUCUACAUUUCUAACACUGUGGUUGACUUUUCAUUUGCUAUGUUAACAUUAUAACUUUGGUUAAAAAACUAAAAAGGCGAAAAUAUAAUUAUUGCCUCUCCAAGUUUUGUGUUGAAAAUAAAAAAAUAGAAUAAAACGAGUGAAACAUUGUUACAUCACAUUGAAUAGCCAGUAUCUGUUAGAGAUAGUCUAGGUUGUAAAUCUUACGUUAUGGUGAAAAUUCUUCACAGAUAUUUUAUUGAAAUUGGUUAUCGAUUCCUGUCCAUGAUUUUCAAAAUUCCUUCGUCGUAGACAUAUUACCUUGGUUCAUCUCUUGACAAAUCGGCAUCAAGAUCACGGCUCUGUUAUGGAUACUUUUUUGGAGGAGCCUUUAGUUUUAAGUUUAUAUUAUAACGAUUUUUUGAAAAGAUAAAAAGGUUUUGUGCCUUUUUGAGAAAGAUUUCGUAGAUGAGGAAAUCACUCAAAGAAAGAGGCUUUUGCCUCUUUCAAAAUUUGUAGUUCAAAAUAAAUGACACUAACAGUUGAAAUAGUCUACAUUUAUUUAACUUGUUUUUUUUAUUCAGAAGUACUACUUGUAUGAGCUAAAAAUAAUAUCGAAAGGUUGUAUGAGAUUUGUGAAUAUUUUCUUUGAAAAUUACUAUUAAAAUAGCUUCAGAUAUCAAAGUGCCUCAUCCGACCCGAUUGUUAAGUCAAUUUUGGUCUAUUCUGGACAUAAUGAACCACGGCUGCCAAAAAGUGCCUAUUCAAAAAAGAUUCAAUGGUGAAAAUAGUGAAAAAAUUUCAAAAAAUUUAGAAAACGAUAUUUUUUGUCGGGUAUUCAAUGUAAAGUCAACCACAGUGUUAGAAAUGUAGACUAUUUCAACAAGAAUACUAUUUUGAUUAACAAUUAUAAAUGUCGAAAAGUUUUCGUGAGUUUUCAGUUUGCAUUAAAUGAUUUGUAUGAAAUUUGUGAAUAUUUUCUUUGAAAAAUGACUAUUAAAAUAGCAUCAUAAAUCAAAGUGCCUUAUCAGACCCGAUUGUUAAGUCACUUUUGGUCUAUUCUGGACAUGAUGAAGUAUUGCAAUUUUGAUAGCACGGCUGCCAAAAAGUGCCUAUUCAAAAAAUAUUCAAUAGUGAAAAUAGUGAAAAAAAUUCAAAAAAAAUGGUUUACUGGAGCAAUUUUCAAUUUUACAGAGUUGGUGUCUUCGGCAAGAUAGUGUAUUCUAGUAGUAUCUACAAACUUGUAGUACAUAUCACGUUGAAGUUUUACGAUAUAAUCAUGGAAAAGUUCAAAAAACUGAUUUUGAGGUAGUUUUUUAAACUUUCAUAUUUUCUCCCUAAAAAUGAAGUCCAAGCUAUAUGGUGUCUUCAGCAAAGUUACUUGAAAUUACUUGUUCUACAACUUUGCUGAAGACAUCUACCCUCUAAAAAAAUAUUUUGAAAAAAUAUUUUUUUUCUCGGGUUUACCCUACAGUUUUACCAUACAGUGAAUAUGCAUAGAAAUAGAAAAGAUUUUUCUGAACAUAUCUGCCAAAGACACCUAUAUGCUAAAAUGUCAUCUAACGGCUCUUAGAGGUUUUGAUCGUCUUUUUUCAGAAUGAUCCCACUGUGCGCCAGCGACAUUCUUCCUCUAGUUUAUUACCUCUAUUAUAUGUAUACACAUGCAGAAUGAUCAUUGCCAGAGGAAGCUAUCAGUUAACAGCUGUGGAAGUGUUCAUAUAACCACAAAGCUCAGAAGUAGGCUUUGUUCCCGUGAGAACGUUACUCCAAGAAAAAGAAGAAGAAAUAUGUUAUGUUUGAUUAAUACUCGGAUUAAUAAUUAUAUUUUCUUUCAUUCUGGAGCACGGAAUAGAAACAUAUUCUGCAUUUGGACACUUUAAAUGGUCUUCCAACAUAGGUUUGCUCUUUCAGCCUGGAACGCAUGUGUUUGAGUUAAAUUAUUCUAUUGAAUUUCUUUAAUUGUUAUAGUAAUGGUUAAGCACGCUUUAAUGUUACUUUCGUACCUCAUCGCCCACCCGAUGCAAUUACAGAAGCUUGUGUAGACGAAAAUCAAUUAACUUAGGGAAGGGAGUUUCAAAAUGACACACGAAUGUUUCAUAGUGUAAAACUCAUCUUUUACAUUGUGCUUGAACGCUUCGAACGAUCUUCUCAUAUGGGUUCAAGAUGUAGUAUAUCGAGUAUUUUUAAGUGCUAUAAUAAUGGCUAAGCACGCUGUAAUGUUACUUUUGUACCUCAUCACCCAAUAAAUGCAACUACAUUAGUGGUCUAAUAACACUUAGCGCGCUUAGGCACGGUUCCAUCAUGCCGCUUAUAGUGUUGCCACAUAUAAUGCUUAGUCUGCUAAACCCAGUUAUCUGGCUGUGGGGCAUGGGAGCCAAAGCUUCAACCAUUAAUGCAACUUGACAUUACUCGAUUUACAACAUGAAUGAUCCAAAUAUUUGAUAACUGUUCGGUCUGUGUCCUUAAAAUGUUGCUUAAAAUAUACAAGCUUCUAAUCCAAAUGCAUAGUUAUUAGCGUGGUUCAAAAAAUCGUUUUUGCUCCACACCGCUUAUUCGAUUCACAAUCAGAUUCUAAGCAUUCUCCCAAAAAAUGAGCUGAUUUGGUUGAAAAUGGAGAGUGCACAAGCUCUUCAAAGUUUGUAUGGAAAUUACUAUGGGAAAAGGACGUUUUUCAUUCAAUUGACCGUAGCAUUUUCCCAAGUGCCCUAGAGUGUUAGUUGAACCUUGGUUCUCUUAGGUUACUCUAUCAGCUACAACUUUGCCGAAGACCACAUUGAAAUCGGACGUCUCAUUAAUUAGUUAUCGAUUUUUAUCCAACUGCAGAAACUUUAACAGUGAUCGUUCAGCUUCACAGCUGGCAACCUUGCUGCACAUGGCGCCAAAGAUAGCACACACAAAUCAUGGCUACUAUGUUUCAUGGCAAAUGGCAGUGAUGCCCAUCGAAUAGUGUAAUCAUCAUGGUCAAAGAUUUUCAUUCUGGAUGAAAAUCGAUAACAAAUUAAUGAGGCGUCCGAUUUGAAUGUGGUCUUCGGUAAAGUUGUAGCUGAGAAAGUGACGUAGGAGUGCCAAGGGUCAACUAACACUCUAGGGCACUUGGAGAAAUGCUACGGUCAAUUGAAUGAAAAACUUCCUUUUCCCAUAGUAAUUUCCAUACAUACCUUGAAGAGCUUGUGCACUCUCAAUUUUCCACCAAAUCAGCUCAUUUUUUGGGAGAAUGCUUAGAAUCUGGUUACGAAUCGAAUAAGCGGUGUGGAGCAAAAACGAUUUUUUGCACCACGCUAAUAGUUAUAGUUCAGUUCGCUUUGUUUAAGAGUUUUUCAUGCAGUCAAGAACAAAAGCAGAAAGCACAAAUUGAUCUAACCCUGCCAAAAUGUUCAUAUUCUUUUGUACCUAAAAUUAAACUAUUCAAAAACAUCAGAAUUUUUUGUUUCACCAUAGAAAACAAUUGAAUCUAAUGUGCGACCUAUAAUAACAUCAGUGCUCGAAGCGAUACGUUUACCGUGGAUUUCACUGUUUGAAACAAUUCGAAAACAUAAGAAUCUUCUGUAUCACAAUAGAAAACUGAACCGAAACCACUGAAUUCAAUGUAAAAGCAAUACAAACUAGCAUGUACUGUUUCACAAUAGAAAACAAUUCCAAAACAAUUGAAUCAAAUGUAUAACCAGUAAUAAAAUCACUGCUGAAAACAAUACAUUUACCGUACAUUUCACUGUUUAAUACAAUAUGAAAACAUAAGAAUCUUCUGUAUCACAAUAGAAAACAAUUCCCAAACCAUUGAACCAAACGUGGAACCAGUAAUAAAAUCACUGCUCAAAACAA